rnacentral:rRNA from 1 species
AUAUCAUUAAGCGGAGGAAAAGAAACUAACAAGGAUUCCCCUAGUAACGGCGAGUGAACAGGGAAGAGCUCAAGCCUGAAUCUUCGGAAUUGUAGUCUAUAGGAUUGGUCUUGUAUACCCCGGGUAGAAAUCCGUUCUUGGAACUGGGUGCCAGAGAGGGUUAGAGCCCCGUCUUUGACUCGGUAGGGUGUGCGUGAUAAGAUCUUUCCAGAGAGUCGGCUUGCUUGGGAAUGCAGGCCAAAGUGGGUGGUAAACUCCAUCUAAAGCUAAAUAUUGGCGAGAGACCGAUAGCGCACAAGUA